UUUACAAACAAAAGUUAUUGUGCGCUGGUCAUUAUGACCAGUGCACAAUAACUUUUGUUUGUA
rnacentral:pre_miRNA from 1 species